rnacentral:rRNA from 1 species
AUUGAACGCUGGCGGCAGGCCUAACACAUGCAAGUCGAACGAGUGGCGGACGGGUGAGUAAUGUCUGGGAAACUGCCUGAUGGAGGGGGAUAACUACUGGAAACGGUAGCUAAUACCGCAUACCAUCGGAUGUGCCCAUAUGGGAUGAGCUAGUAGGUGGGGUAAAGGCUCACCUAGGCGACGAUCCCUAGCUGGUCUGAGAGGAUUACCAGCAACACUGGAACUGAGACAAGUUCCAGACUCCUACGGUAGGCAGCAGUGGGGAAGAUUGCACAAUGGGCGCAAGCCUGAUGCAGUCAUUCCGCGUGUAUGAAGAAGGCCUUCGGGUUUUAAAGUACUUGCAGCGGGGAGGCGUUACCCGCCGAAGAAGCACCGGCUAACUCCGUGCCAGCAGCCGCGGUAAUUC